rfam:Mesorhizobium australicum strain B5P genome assembly, contig: Ga0048943_14
GGCGGAGUAGCUCAGUUGGUUAGAGCAGAGGAAUCAUAAUCCUUGUGUCGGGGGUUCAAAUCCCUCCUCCGCUA